rnacentral:rRNA from 1 species
UAAAAAUAGGUUUUAUAUAAAGAUUUCUCGAAUUUAGGAGGGCUAGGGAAGUGUUAAUUUUGCUGUGGAAAAAUUAUUUUGUACACUUCUUUAGUAAUGAGAUGUUAAUCGUUCUUUAAUAUAUCUAGUUUCCUUAGAAAUUAAUUCAAUUAAGCUGACUUNGUAAUUGAUUUUUUUUAAUGAAUUNGAUUUAGGAGUUGAGUAAUGUUUAAGGGGAUAAGCUUUUGAAUAGAUUAUUAGAAUGCUGGAUUAUGUUUAAUUUGGAAUAGGAAUAGAAGUUUUCAUUUUUUAUAGUGAGUUGUAUCAAGAUUUUGAUUUAGAUGAUUUUUUAUGGGUUUAGGUUUUUUAUAAGGAUAGUAAAUUUAAUUUUAGGUUUUACGGGAUAAUGAUUGAAUUAGUAUAUAGUAAUGUUUGUAUAGGCCUAGAUUGUGAGGUUGAGUUGAGGAAUUCGGCAAAUAUAUUUCCUGCCUGUUUAUUAAAAACAUGGCCUUUUGAUAAUAAUUUUAGGUCUGGCCUGCCCAAUGAUUUGUUUAAUGGCCGCGGUACUCUGACCGUGCAAAGGUAGCAUAAUCAUUAGUUUUUUAAUUGAAAGCUGGAAUGAACGGUCGGACAAGGAAAUAACUGUCUUUACUUAAGAGAUAGAAUUUUAUUUUUUAGUAAGAAAGCUAAAAUAGACUUAAGGGACGAGAAGACCCUAUAGAAUUUUAUAAGUUAUUAAUGGAUUGGUUUUAGGUUUAUUCUGUUGAUUUGUUGAUGAUUUAUUUUGUUGGGGUGAUAGAAAAAUUUAGGAAACUUUUUAUUUUACUGAAUUACUGAUGUGUAAAUAUUUGAUCCAUUUGUUGUGAUUAUAAGAUUAAAUUACCUUAGGGAUAACAGCGUAAUUGGUUUGGAGAGUUCAUAUCGAUAAACUAGUUUGCGACCUCGAUGUUGGAUUAAAAUGAACUUUUGGUGUAGGGGCUAUUAGGUUAAGUCUGUUCGACUUUUAAAAUUUU